rnacentral:lncRNA from 1 species
AUAGGGGAAGACUCCCCAAAGGAGAGCUUAACUUUAUUAAUGUGAAGCUUACAUAUUUAUACAAAAAUGAAUGGGAUAAGAGUAUCCCUUCUAAAACCUAGUGAGCAACGGUAACAUAUACAUUCACUUAUACACUUUUGAAUGUAUAUUGAUGACAAAUACUAAAGGAGAGAGUGACAUCUCUCAAGUGGCCCCUUAGAAGCAACAUGUGACUUCUCCCCACUUGUUUCUUCUUCUAAAUGCAACAUGUGACUUUGGGGAGAGAGGGGCUCGUCCAAGAUGAUAGUGACAGCUCCCAACGUCCCUUUUAAACUCACAUGUGACUCCUUGCAACUUGUAUUGCUUCCUCACACAUGUGGCUUCUCUUUUGGCGCCUAAACACAUUUGAAUCUAGGGACUUCUUCACUUCGUUCAUCGACCCUAGAUUUGCACAUUCUUUAUCAUCUUGUUGUUGACCCUAGAUUUGCACAUCUUCAUCUUCAAGAUUGACCCGAACUUUUCACAUUCUUCUUUGGUGAUUAAACCCCGGUUUUGCACAUCUUGGUGAUGACCCGAACUUUGCACAUCUUGAUAACUUCAUGAUGACCCGAACUUUGCACAUCUUGAUAACUUCAUGAAUGACCCGAACUUUGCACAUCUUGAUCACUUCAUGAAUGACCCGAACUUUGCACAUCUUGAUAACUUCAUGAAUGACCCGAACUUUGCACAUCUUGAUCACUUCAUGAAUGACCCGAACUUUGCACAAGCUUCGGUCUUGAUAACUUUGACCCGAACUUUGCACACCUUGAUCACGUGUGUGCCUAGAGACCGAUCGUUCUAGUGGAUAGAUUGAUCGAUCCCUUGUUGUGAACGAUCGGUCAUUUCCUUGUUGUUGUGAUCGAUCGAUCCCUUGAUGUUGUGAUCGAUCGUUCCUUCAUUGCUUGUGCUCAUUUAUUUCAAUACUCCCCCUCAACCUUGACCGGAAGGGAUGAAGGUUAAGCUUGGACGUAAAUGAGCUUGAUCAAGUAUCAAUCCUUGAACCACAUGAACUCGCCCUAGUCUUCUAGACUUCGGACUUGAGCUUUCCCAUUAGCUUCUUCCUCUCAAUACUCCCCCUCAAGCUUGGACGUUGGGGACCAAAGGCCAAGCUUGCAACACGCAAAUGACUACCUCAUUAAAAACCUUAGCAAAGAAAACCUCUUGGGAUAAAACUUUGCUAAGGGAAAAAGAGUAUAGUCUUCACGGUUGAACGAUUUAGCUAUAGCCAUGGUUUGAAUGUAGGGUCACUUGGGCUUCUUGCUUUGACUUCUUGUUGAGACUCUAACCCUCCGUGUGUGUACUCGCUUAAGGAACUCCUCCUUUCGGUCACCACCAUGGAUUGAUCUUUCUUUGUUUAGUCAAGCCACCAUUAGCCUUGCUUCUUCCCUUUCCAUACCAUAGCUUUCAUGAUCCAACCGGUUCUCUUCUUCUCAUCUAGCUUCUUUUGAUGGCUUUCUUUCUCUUUUACAC